GAUGAACGCUAGCUACAGGCUUAACACAUGCAAGUCGAGGGGUAACAAGAGAAAAGCUUGCUUUUCUUGUUGACGACCGGCGCACGGGUGAGUAACGCGUAUCCAACCUGCCUAUAACUAGGGAAUAACCUUGCGAAAGUAAGACUAAUACCCUAUGAUUUCCUUUGAUGACAUCAGAUUAGGAAUAAAGAUUUAUCGGUUAUAGAUGGGGAUGCGUCUGAUUAGCUUGUUGGCGGGGUAACGGCCCACCAAGGCAACGAUCAGUAGGGGUUCUGAGAGCAAGGUCACCCACAUUGGAACUGAGACACGGUCCAAACUCCUACGGUAGGCAGUAGUGAGGAAUAUUGGUCAAUGGGCGGAAGCCUGAACCAGCCAAGUAGCGUGCAGGAUGACGGCCCUAUGGGUUGUAAACUGCUUUUAUACAGGAAUAAAGUUAGCCACGUGUGGUUAUUUGUAGGUACUGUAUGAAUAAGGACCGGCUAAUUCCGUGCCAGCCGCCGCCGUAA
rnacentral:rRNA from 1 species